GGGCGUAUAGCUCAAUGGUAGAGCCGGUCGCUCAUAACGGCCUUGGCCUCGGUUCGAUUCCGAGUGCGCCCACCA
rnacentral:tRNA from 1 species